UCCCUGGCUUCCUGUACAUCUGUGUGCCUGUCUGGGGUCACUCCAUGUGGGCACCGUCGCUUUUGUCUGCAUUUGGACAACUGGGUG
rnacentral:lncRNA from 1 species